AACCAUAGAAACCUGCGGAGUACCUGCGGAGGGAUCAUUAUAGUAUAUGGAAUCUCCAUUCUAUAAACCCACUCUGCGUAUCUUGUAACUGUUGCUUCCAUGGGACUUGGUUCCGCCACACUGGCUUCACGGCUGGUGAGCGCCCAUGGAAGGAGAAACAAAACUCUUCUUUGAAAUGUAGUCAGUCUGAACAAGUUUUUAUAAACGUUAAAACUUUUAGCAACGGAUCUCAGAUCGGAA
rnacentral:misc_RNA from 1 species